rnacentral:rRNA from 1 species
GAUGAACGCUGGCGGCGUGCCUAAUACAUGCAAGUCGAGCGAACAGACGAGGAGCUUGCUCCUCUGACGUUAGCGGCGGACGGGUGAGUAACACGUGGAUAACCUACCUAUAAGACUGGGAUAACUUCGGGAAACCGGAGCUAAUACCGGAUAAUAUAUUGAACCGCAUGGUUCAAUAGUGAAAGACGGUUUUGCUGUCACUUAUAGAUGGAUCCGCGCCGCAUUAGCUAGUUGGUAAGGUAACGGCUUACCAAGGCAACGAUGCGUAGCCGACCUGAGAGGGGGAUCGGCCACACUGGAACGGAGACACGGUCCAGACUACUACGGGAGGCAGCAGUAGGGAAUCUUCCGCAAUGGGCGAAAGCCUGACGGAGCAACGCCGCGUGAGUGAUGAAGGUCUUCGGAUCGUAAAACUCUGUUAUUAGGGAAGAACAAAUGUGUAAGUAACUAUGCACGUCUUGACGGUACCUAAUCAGAAAGCCACGGCUAACUACGUG